AAACAAAACAGUUUUUAUUAGCACAGAAAAUUAAAAAAAAAAAAAAAUUUUUUUUUGGUAGUUAAAUGUUGCCAGAAUGUUGUUGAUUUCAAAUCCGAAAUGUUAAUUUUUAAAUAAACUCCGCCAUUAUGAUUUUGCAUUUAAAUCUAGCCCCUUUUCCCUAAAAUAUUCAUCAGUCUGGGUUAUACAAAAUGGUGUUAUCCACGAAAAAUUUCCGAAGAAAGAUGCAUUGACUCAUCAGGCGUGCGACGCCAUGUUAUAAUUUUACUGUGUAAUCACGUGACAUUUCUUUAAUAUAUCUGCGCGCUUCAAUUUUUUCUGUGAUAUGUCAUUCGCUUCAGAAAUACAAAUGUCAUUGGAAAAUCCAAAUAUAUUUUGCCCUUAUAGCCUUAGCAGGAAUCUAGUUUGAGUGCUAGAUUGCUAGACAAAUGAAGGAAUAAACAAUUAACACAAUAGGUAAACAUUGUGCUACCAUUUACCUGUUAAGUUAGAUUGUUUAUGACUGCUUACACUGACUUAAUUAAUCCAAUUGACAUAUAUAAUAAUUUGAAGCACAGAGAAGAGAAAUUGAGCAUUAGUGAAAGCAAAAGAUUAGAUUUUUCUGGAAUAUUUGAAUCUACUGUGCAUAUUAAGUUAAUAUUAUAUAUAGACAAAUACAGUAUAAUGUGACUUGACCCCAGACUUUUGGGGACAGUUCUCAAGAAUAUGAUGACCUUGACUAAUUUUGUUAUCAAAUUUUUAGUUUUGUUUUUUCACUUAUAUCACUAGAUGAACUACACUAUUUAACAUACUGCAUAUUACAAUAUUAUUAACUUUUAAUUAUAUAAAAUUUAUAAAUAUGGUUCAUUAAAUAUAGUAUUUAGUCUCCUUAUAUUGGAACAGAUGAAGAAAUGAAUGAGACAUUCACUUGAUCUAGAUGAGUAAUAAUAGCAGAGAAUUGCUAGCAAAUAGAAAUGAGUGGAGAAUGGAAGGCUUUAUUUUAUGACCAGAGGGGUCAUAUUGAAAUAAUGAUAAAAUAUGAAAUUCAAAAAAAAGAAAUUGAACAAAUUGUCAAAAUUCUAUGAGGGAGAGUUCUAAUUACUAAUUGAAAAAAAUUACUUUAUUUCUCAUUAAUUGUAUAAAAUGCAUAAUCAUAAUACUGUUGAUAUAUUAGAAUAUAAGAUGGCAUAAAUCUAAAAUCUAGUGUGGAUCACUUUAAUAAAACAUGAAUAGUGCAUUUGAGUCUGUCCUUGAAAUUAUUAAAUUAAGAAAAAAUCAAUUUAAUGUAGUUCUCAAAAUUAGAUUUUUGCCAUAGUAUUUUAAUAAUUUUAUAAUAGAGGUUAUACUUAAAAGAGAGUAUUGUUGUUAAUAGAAAUUUUUCAUAAGCUCCAUGUGUGUAAAUGAUAUUCUGCAUGUUGCAAUAGAAUACUGUUACAUUAGAAACCAACCUUUCAGAAUUUAUCACUUCUUUGUAUAUCUUAUUGCUUAUCUCCUAAUGAUUCAAGGCUAUUUCUUUUCCAUACUAUUCCCAAAUAAGACAUGGAAAAGAAAUAGGCUUGAAUGGUUGGGAAAGAAUGAGGUAUAUAAAGAACUAAUAAAUUCUGAAAGGAGUAUAUAUCCUAUGACAAUUAUUUUAGCAAAUGUUUAUAGUAGUUACAGUUGAGCUAAUAUUUUAUAAAUAGGACAAUCUAUCUGAUUUGAUAUACUAAUAUUAUAUAAAUGUGUGAUUUUAGAUAUUUAGGAAAGAAAUUUUAAAUGGUGAAAAUUUUGUAUAGAUACAAA
rnacentral:lncRNA from 1 species